rnacentral:rRNA from 1 species
GACGAACGCUCGGUGCGUGCUUAACACAUGCAAGUCGAACGGAAAGGCCCUGCUUUUGUGGGGUGCUCGAGUGGCGAACGGGUGAGUAACACGUGAGUAACCUGCCCUUGACUUUGGGAUAACUUCAGGAAACUGGGGCUAAUACCGGAUAGGAGCUCCUGCUGCAUGGUGGGGGUUGGAAAGUUUCGGCGGUUGGGGAUGGACUCGCGGCUUAUCAGCUUGUUGGUGGGGUAGUGGCUUACCAAGGCUUUGACGGGUAGCCGGCCUGAGAGGGUGACCGGCCACAUUGGGACUGAGAUACGGCCCAGACUCCUACGGGAGGCAGCAGUGGGGAAUAUUGCACAAUGGGCGGAAGCCUGAUGCAGCAACGCCGCGUGCGGGAUGACGGCCUUCGGGUUGUAAACCGCUUUCGCCUGUGACGAAGCGUGAGUGACGGUAAUGGGUAAAGAAGCACCGGCUAACUACGUGCCAGCAGCCGCGGUGAUACGUAGGGUGCGAGCGUUGUCCGGAUUUAUUGGGCGUAAAGGGCUCGUAGGUGGUUGAUCGCGUCGGAAGUGUAAUCUUGGGGCUUAACCCUGAGCGUGCUUUCGAUACGGGUUGACUUGAGGAAGGUAGGGGAGAAUGGAAUUCCUGGUGGAGCGGUGGAAUGCGCAGAUAUCAGGAGGAACACCAGUGGCGAAGGCGGUUCUCUGGGCCUUUCCUGACGCUGAGGAGCGAAAGCGUGGGGAGCGAACAGGCUUAGAUACCCUGGUAGUCCACGCUGUAAACGGUGGGUACUAGGUGUGGGGUCCAUUCCACGGGUUCCGUGCCGUAGCUAACGCUUUAAGUACCCCGCCUGGGGAGUACGGCCGCAAGGCUAAAACUCAAAGGAAUUGACGGGGCCCCGCACAAGCGGCGGAGCAUGCGGAUUAAUUCGAUGCAACGCGUAGAACCUUACCUGGGUUUGACAUGGAUCGGGAGUGCUCAGAGAUGGGUGUGCCUCUUUUGGGGUCGGUUCACAGGUGGUGCAUGCCUGUCGUCAGCUCGUGUCGUGAGAUGUUGGGUUAAGUCCCGCAACGAGCGCAACCCUUGUUCACUGUUGCCAGCACGUUAUGGUGGGGACUCAGUGGAGACCGCCGGGGUCAACUCGGAGGAAGGUGGGGAUGACGUCAAGUCAUCAUGCCCCUUAUGUCCAGGGCUUCACGCAUGCUACAAUGGCUGGUACAGAGAGUGGCGAGCCUGUGAGGGUGAGCGAAUCUCGGAAAGCCGGUCUCAGUUCGGAUUGGGGUCUGCAACUCGACCUCAUGAAGUCGGAGUCGCUAGUAAUCGCAGAUCAGCAACGCUGCGGUGAAUGCGUUCCCGAGGCG